UGUUUGUAGAAGUGUAAACAACAGAGUCAUCAUCUUUUGAACCUGUCAUAACGUGUGUUUUUCAGACUGCAGUUUGUUCAGCUCCUGAAGCAGACCCGCCUCCUCACACCGGCGGCAGAGGAAACCCCCGGAACAGGGGAGGAGCCGGUCGCCACAGAGCUGCCGCAGGUCACCGUGGUAACGCAGAUGUUGUAGAUUCCGACGACUCUCCUCCUCCUCCUGAUCCUGAUCCCGUUCAGAAAAACACCUGGAGACGCAUGGGGACCUCGGACACGAUAGACGGACCAAUCAGGAGAGAGAGCGCCUGGUCACAUGACGCACGUCGGCCUCUCGACCGGCCAAUCGGGGCAGAGCCUUCGGUCACGUGACACCGCACCACCAGUUCAUGUUUCCUCAGGUCCAAACUCCCUGAUCGCGCAGUUAUUUAUUUUUACAAAAACACACGCGUGGAAGAUCAUUUGUUCCAUUAGAUUCUGAAUUUUAAAUACACUUACAUUUUUUUUUUUACUCUGAAAAAAGAUGUUUGAAUUAUUUUUCCUCUGAAUUUUAGUUACUGAAAUUGUAAGUGUACGUUUUCAACAAAUCAAAAUAAACGUUUCACCUAAAAAAUGUCACCUUAAAUAUUCAAAAUCAUGAACUGUGCUGUGCUGAAUAUUUGUAUUUUUAAAUUUGAAACAUAUUGAAAAAGUACACUUAAAAUUUCAGCAACUAAAAUUCUGAAUAAAAAUAUUUCAAACACAUUUUUUUUUUUAGUUAAAAAAAUCACUUAAAAAUCUGAAUCUGAUGGAACAAAUAAUCUUUUAUACACAGAAAUGACUUUGAAUUUUAAAGGUACACCGUGUAACUUUUGACACACGUUCUGCCUCUCGCUUGUCUCCAUAGCGAUGCUUUUGCUUUACCCGGAAUGUUCCACAGUACGGCAUUAUUCAGUCAUUUUUAUUGCUCAGAAAAACUUUGUUCUUCCCAUGAGCGACGUUUCCACAGAUCUGACCAGUAACACUGCUCGGAGACGUCACCUGCCUCUCUCCGUAGUUUGUUUUUAAUGCCAGGCUCUGAAACAUUACGGGCAACUCUAUAACAUCUCCGUGGAGACGAGGAGGCAGCAGAAGCCAGAAAAGUUCCACAGUGCACCUUUUAAUCGCGCAGGGACAUAAACAAGCCGGUUCAAACCAGCGCUUUUCCUCGCUGAGUUGAUCUUUGGCAACCUGUAACUUUUAACUCGGGGGUUCCGUCGUUUGCUCGUUUCUAUGGAGACGUCCCCGCUCCUGCCUGGAAUGUUCCACAGUGUGACAUUAAACACCUCGACUUUAUAUUUACUCGAUUACAGAUGGUUUUACAGCUCAAAAAUACCUCGAAAAGCCGGCGUUCUGACCCCAGAUCUGACCUGUAACUCGUUCUGGUUUGGUCUCCACGGAGAUAGAGGUUUAAUGCCGUAGUGUGAAACAUUCUGGACAAAACGAUAGCGUCUACAAACUUACAUUAAAACGAAAAAGCUCCUGAUUACAGUUCACAGUGAGAAAUCUGAAGAACUCUGCGGGCUGCGUUUGUGCCGUCUGCUUAUCGCCAUGGCAACAGAUUAUUUAAAGUUUUAUAUUUAUUUAUGUAAAAGUCUAAAACACUGCGCUUAAUUUAAUUCACAUUGUUAAUAUUGUUCAUUGUCUAAUUUAAAAGCGUUGAUAUUGAGGAAACUGUAUGAACUUUAAGAACUUUUCUAAAUGUUUACAAACCAAUUCUUCACUUGACUGAAGCCGUACAAGUCAUUUCAUUUUGUGCUUUGUUUAGUACGAAACCUUUUACUUUUUUCAUUUUGUUGAAACAUAACUACUGUUUACAGACAGUAACGAACACACAUGAAUGCAUCUUUGUUAAAAAUGAGACGCAGGAGAAAAUCUGAGCUGGAACUUUUCUAUGUGUCAUUAAAUUAUUUUUUAAUAAAAUGUAUUUUUACUCUGA